rnacentral:rRNA from 1 species
GACGAACGCUGGCGGCGUGCUUAACACAUGCAAGUCGAACGGAGAGGCCCUGCUUUUGUGGGGUGCUCGAGUGGCGAACGGGUGAGUAACACGUGAGUAACCUGCCCUUGACUUUGGGAUAACUUCAGGAAACUGGGGCUAAUAUCGGAUAGGAGCUCCUGCUGCAUGGUGGGGGUUGGAAAGUUUCGGCGGUUGGGGAUGGACUCGCGGCUUAUCAGCUUGUUGGUGGGGUAGUGGCUUACCAAGGCUUUGACGGGUAGCCGGCCUGGGAGGGUGACCGGCCACAUUGGGACUGAGAUACGGCCCAGACUCCUACGGGAGGCAGCAGUGGGGAAUAUUGCACAAUGGGCGGAAGCCUGAUGCAGCAACGCCGCGUGCGGGAUGACGGCCUUCGGGUUGUAAACCGCUUUCGCCUGUGACGAAGCGUGAGUGACGGUAAUGGGUAAAGAAGCACCGGCUAACUACGUG